GAUGUAUAUAGUAGCCUACCUUCUGGGUAGGCUACUGGAAAUCUUGGUUUUAUAUCUGAAUCUAACACAGUACAUCCAUUUGUGCAGGUUUGAAGGAGGGCUUGCACCAACUUCAAAAAACCCAAAUUGAUGCCUGUCCCGUUAUUGUCGGCCAUUUCAGUGAUGAUGAAUCUGAACGUCAGUCUUGAACAGAAACUAGAGCUCUGAUGGAUCGGGGUUCCAAGCAGCUGCUGAUAGACCAUGAUGGCUGCACCUCAUGACCACCUACAUCCUGAAGACAAUAAAUAUGCUUAUUGGGCUGUAGUGACAAACAUGUACAUUUAUUUAGAGGGACACUGUGUGAGAUUUUUAGUAGUUUAUUUCCAGAAUUCAUGCUGCCCAUUCACUAAUGUUACCUUUUUCAUGAAUACUUACCACCAGCAUCAAAUUAAGUAUUCAUUAUGACUGGAAAAAUUGCACUUUUCAAACAUGAAAAGGGGGAUCUUCUCCAUUGUCCGCCAUUUUGAAUUUCCAAAAAUGACUGUACUUGGACCAUACUCGAAAAUAUUUGUUAAAUACUUAAAUAUUCAUGUUAAAAUCAAAUUUGGCAAUAGGCAGCCCAAUUUCAGGAAGCAGCAUAGUUGCAGUACCUUUUUUUGACCAUUUCCUGCACAG